ACCGACCAGCCGCAGUUGGAGAAGGAACUUGCCAGUUCAGUUAGCAGCAUAACCACAUAUUCAGCUGCACCCUCCACAUUUGUGUAUCAUUUGCUUAACUCUGCCCCUUUGCUGUACAGUAUAUCAAACACUUGGCUGUUUUUCAUCCUCCACCUAUUGAACUCGGUGUUGUUUUGUUUCUCUCAGUUCCCGUGCUCAGAAUGCUGAGCUGAGCAACAGCCUCAAAGCCCUAGAGAGACCCCAGCAGGAGUUGGAGAAGAGGCUGGCAGCCCUGCAGCUCCAGCACCAGCAGGAUAGCACCAAGUGGCAAACCCAACUGGAUGAGACAGACAGUCGCAACAUGGCUCUGCAGAGAGAGCUCGAUGAGACUAAAACUGAGCUGUCGGACCUGACAGAAAACUAUGUGAACACUGAUCAGGAGACUCAGUCGCUUACAGAUACUUAAGUCAUGCAAAGCCAACAUGAAGAAGCUUCAGGAGAAAAGAUCAAAGAGAGCGUGGAUGACCUGGGAGCUGGCGGUCGCUGUGGCUGUAACGGCAGUGACUGCUGCUGCACUCUUCAGAACCUGAGGGCAACUCGCUCGAGCCCCCCCCCCUUCCCUUCGGAACCAGGAGAGGGAGCCAGCCCACCCCCCCACGAGGCCCUCCGGUGGUCGAAUUCCGUCUUGAAUUCCGUCUCUGUCUGUGUGUUGGAGAGCCCCGUGGCAAGCACCACUGCCACAGUCAUCAAAUCUUGUCUGCACCAAAACAGAAAAACUUGCCCCUCAUCUUAUCUGCAUUAUUAAUUAGGAGGGCUCCUACGCAACACUGUUUGAUCCUUUAAUGAAUGUUUAGAGACUCUACACAAUUAAUUUAUUCUGAUUACACAUGAUGAUAUUUUUGGAGUCUGAACCUCCCUAAAAGUAACACAUCACUGCAGUUGUCAGAAUAAUAAAUAUAAUCACAAUAACGCAGCCCCUAAUUGAGUGCAUGAUGACUGCCCUGGUUACUGCACAUAAGAAUAU